UCCGGGAGGGUUUGGGAGGAGCUCGGGCAGCUCGGAGGAGAUUUGGGGGGAGUUUGGGAAAUUUGGGGAUUUUCGGGAAUAUUUUUGGGAAUUUGGAGGAUUUCUUGGGUGAAUUCUGUGGGAAUUCGGGGGUGUUUUUUUUGGGUGAAUUCUCUGGGAAUUCGGGGGUGUUUUUUUGGGUGAAUUCUGUAUAAAUUCAGGGUGAUUUUUGGGUGAGUUCUGUGGGCUUUGGGGGUGUUUUUUGGGUGAAUUCUCCGGGAAUUCGGGGUUUCUCCCCCCGGCAGGAGGAGCUGUCGCGGCUGCGCCGGAAGCUGGAGAAGCAGCGCAAGGUGGAGGUUUACGCCGACGCCGACCAGAUCCUGCAGGAGGAGAUCAAGGAGUACCGGGCCCGGCUGACGUGUCCGUGCUGCAACGCCCGCAAGAAGGACGCGGUGCUGACCAAGUGCUUCCACGUCUUCUGCUUCGAGUGCGUCAAGAGCCGCUACGACACGCGGCAGCGCAAGUGCCCCAAGUGCAACGCCGCCUUCGGCGCCCACGACUUCCACCGCGUCUACAUCAGCUGAGUGACCCUGAGUGACCGCUGAGUGACCCUGAGUGACCACUGAGUGACCGCUGAGUGACCGCUGGGUGACCACUGAGUGACUGCUCAUCAUCCCUGAGUGACCGCUGGGUGACUGCUCAGUGACCGCUGAGUGACCACUCAGUGACCACUCAUCAUCCCUGACCACCCCUGAGUGACCCCUGAGUGAGCGCUGAGUGACCACUCACCAUCCCUGAGUGACCGCCCAGUGACCGCUGAGUGACCGCCCAGUGACCCCUGAGUGACCACUGACUUCCCCUGACCACCCCUGACGUCCCCUGAGUGACCACCGAGUGACCACUCACGACCCCUGAGUGACCCCUGACCGCCCCACACCAUUUCUGACCACCCCAGGGUGACCACCGGUCACUUUCAGCCACCCCUGGCCCCCUCCCGGCCACCUUUGGCCGGUCCGGAGUGGUCACCACCCUCCGACCCCUCCCCCCAGCCUUGACCUUUGACCCCUGAGCGUCCCCGCCUGGCCCCGCCCCCUUUCCCCUCUCAGCCAAUAAAAACGCGCGGAAUCGUUC
rnacentral:lncRNA from 1 species